CUCUUUAAUUCACUAUCCAGUAAAGAUUCUGCAGGUGCCCAAACACUGUGAGGAGAAGACAACCUGGGAAUCAUGUAAAUCCUCUUCCUUCCUUCUGAUGACCAGGGAAGCCAGGUUGAAGUGGAAAAGAACUGCAAGAGAUGCUGUUUUUCGACCUUGUGUUAGCUAAGACUAGAAUGCAGACUGUAGCAGAAAUUGCUGAGAAAAAGGAAGAUCUCAGAAAGGAAGAUGUAUAAACAAAAUGCAGUUGUUGAUCAUUACUGUAUGGAACAAAAGACGCUGUCCAUCUUUCGGUGUCUGGGGAGCUGGCCGCUGUGAAGGAGUCUCACAGUAAAAUGCAAGAGGAGAUCACGGCGUUACAGAAAAGAGUAGGCGUUCUUGGUGAAGAACUGCACAAUGUCCCGGGUAUACUGGUUGGGGCUGAGUGACCAGAAAGUGGAAAAUCAAUGGCUCUGGGUGGAUGGCUCCCCUCUGAAACUCAGCUUCUGGAGCACCAGGGAGCCCAAUGACUCCAACAACGAGGACUGUGGCACCAUGGCGAUUGACGGGCGCUGGAAUGGCAUAAACAUACCUGUGGACAUACACCUUUCUCAAAUUCAUCUUUCAUGACAGAGAAUCCCCCCAGGAGCUCCUGCGUGGAGCCCAGGAACUUGGAGGGGGGUGGCCUGUGGAACUCACUGCCACCAGAAUGCCGUGCUCCAAGAAGAACGGGACAAUUAUACAGAACAGGAGACUCUCCAGGGGUACAAUAACGAGGAUUAAAAUAGAACCAAGCUACUGGGCAGGGAUCUGAGCCUUGAGCCAACUGCUACCUACUACCCGGGGAAAUAUUCCCUGGGGGCAGGCGGUCCUAGAAUCGCCCUACUAGGGGGUCUCCUUAUGGCCACCGUCGCAGACGGGAUACCGGGCUAGGUGGGCCCCUGACCUAAAGCAGGCUGGCGAUUCCUGCAUGUGAACUGGCACCAGACAACCAAGCUUCCUUUCUCUUGUUCAAUUAACCCAUUGGGCACUGGAGGGCUCCCCCCCUUUCCCAGCUCCCACUGGAAAUUCAGCCCCCUAAA